UUAAAAUUUAAUUUUUGUUUAAUAAUUAAUGGUAUAUUAUAAGCACUAUAUAAAUUAUUUUUAAAUAAAAAAAUUGAAAUUAAUGUUUGAAUUUUAUAAAUUUAACGAAAGUUAGAAUAAGGUAAUUAUAUAAAAAUAGGAUAAUUUAGUGCCAGCAUCAGCGGUUAUACUAAGUAUUUAAAUUAAUUUGUAGUUUAUUUAAAUAUAAAUUGUAAAAUUAUUAAGUUGUGAUAAUAAUAAAUUAAGUAGUGAAAUAUGAUUUAUUAUUAUUAAUAUUUUUUAUUUAUUUAAUUUUAAAAAAUUUAUAUAAAAAACUAGGAUUAGAUACCCUAUUAUUAUAAAUAUGAUUUUAUUAAAAGAGAUUAAAUGGUAAAUCAUUAAAUUUAAAAAAUUUGGCGGUACUUAUAAUUUAGAGGAACCUGUAUAGUAAUUGAUAGUCCACGAUAAGAGUUACUUAAUAAUAAAAGUUUAUGUAUUGCUGUUUUGAAUAUUUAAUUAAGUUAUGGUAGAUAAAAUUUAAAAUUGUUAAAAUAAUUCAAGUCAAAAUAUAGCUUUUUUAAGAAUAAAUAUGGGUUACAAUUAAUUAUAUUAAUUUUGGAUUAUGAGGUUUUAAAAUUCAUAAGAAAUUGGAUUUAAAAGUAAAUUUAAUAAAUUUAUUAAAUUGAAUGUUAGGAUAAGUAUGUACAAAUUGCCCGUCACUUUCAAUAAUAUGGAAUAAGUCGUAACAAAGUUUAAGUACUGGAAAGUGCUUAUUGAUAAAU
rnacentral:ncRNA from 1 species